GGGGGAAGGAUUCAUUCUGCUCUCUAGGGCAGAAAGAGAAUGGAAGGUCUGAAGGCUUGCAGAAAUAAAUGUGUGACCUGAAAGAACGAAGCAGAGAGGACUCAAGACACUGCAUUUGGGAGCCACCUCUGCUUCCAGAACACUUGUCUCUUCCAAGAGCUGGAUUCAGUAUCAAAAGGAGAAGGUAUGACAUAGCUCCACCUACAUGCAAGGGGAGCCAGGAAGUGCAAUCCCUGGCUGGGCUGCCACGUCUCAGAAACCAUUAAGCCUAUGGAAGGUCUCUGGAUUUGAUGGCAAAUGGCAGCAGAAAUGUGGAAAAGAUCAAAGUGAUGUCAAGGUUGAUCUCUGAGUUUGGCAUGGCUGAACUCAAACAUCAUUUGCCAUGGACCCACAGUGUCUUCAGUAGCUGAGUGUGGUGUCAUUCCCCUAUGAUAUGUGCACUCAAUUGCUGGCCAGUUUUUGUUUUUUGUUUUUGAGAGAGUCUCGCUUUGUCUCCUAGGCUGGAGUGCAGUGGCACGAUCUCGGCUCACUGCAACCUCCGCCUCCCGGGUUCAAGUGAUUUUCCUGCCUCAGCCUCCCGAGUAGCUGAGAUUACAGGCAUGUGCCAGCAGGCCCGGCUAAUUUUUUUUGUAAUUUUAGUAGAGACGGGGUUUUGCCAUGUUGGCCAGGCUGGUCUCGAGCUCCUGGCCUCAAGUGAUCCACCUGCCUCCACCUCCCAAAGUGCUGGGAUUACAGGUGUGAGCCACUGUACCUGGCCCCAAAGUUUUAGAAAUUGGAUCAUUUUAAAUGUUGGAGGGGAGUUCAUUGUUUAGGAUGGCUGUGUGGCAAAUCUUUUUUUAAAGUAAGUAAUUCUCCUCUAUUAUA
rnacentral:lncRNA from 1 species